rnacentral:rRNA from 1 species
AGAGUUUGAUCAUGGCUCAGAACGUACGCUGGCGGCACGCCUAACACAUGCAAGUCGAGCGGGGUAGCAAUACCUAGCGGCAGACGGGUGCGUAACAUGUGGGAAUCUGCCUUUUGGUUCGGAACAACAUGGGGAAACCUGUGCUAAUACCGGAUAAGUCCUAACGGAGAAAGUUUUAAUGCCAAAAGAUGAGCCCGCAUUUGAUUAGCUUGUUGGUGAGGUAAAAGCUCACCAAGGCUAUAAUCAAUAGCUGAUUUGAGAGGAUGAUCAGCCACACUGGGACUGAGAUACGGCCCAGACUCCUACGGGAGGCAGCAGUGGGGAAUCUUGCACAAUGGGCGAAAGCCUGAUGCAGCGAUGCCGCGUGAGUGAAGAAGGCCUUUGGGUUGUAAAGCUCUUUUGUCGGGAAAGAUAAUGACUGUACCCGAAGAAUAAGGUCCGGCUAACUUCGUGCCAGCAGCCGCGGUAAUACGAAGGGACCUAGCGUAGUUCGGAAUUACUGGGCGUAAAGAGUAUGUAGGCGGCUAGAUAAGUUAAUUGUGAAAGCCCAAAGCUUAACUUUGGAACUGCAAUUAAAACUAUUUAGCUGGAGUAUGAUAGAGGAAAGCGGAAUACAUAGUGUAGAGGUGAAAUUCGUAGAUAUUAUGUAGAACACCAGUUGCGAAGGCGGCUUUCUGGAUCAUUACUGACGCUGAGAUACGAAAGUAUGGGUAGCGAAGAGGAUUAGAUACCCUCGUAGUCCAUACCAUAAACGAUGAUUAUUAAAUGUGGGGAAUUAUUUCUCUGUAUUAUAGCUAACGCGUUAAAUAAUCCGCCUGGGGAGUACGACCGCAAGGUUAAAAC